AUGCCGCCGCGGCGGCCCAACACCGGCGGGGGCGGGGGCACCUCCUCGGCCGCGCCGCCGCCUCCGCCGCGCAAGGUCCCGCUCCGCUCCCUGCUCCGGGCGGCCUCCGUCGCCUGCGGGGUCCAAUUCGGGUGGGCGCUGCAGCUCUCGCUGCUCACCCCCUACGUCCAAGAACUCGGCAUCCCGCACGCCUUCGCCAGCCUGGUCUGGCUCUGCGGCCCGCUGUCGGGCCUCCUGGUGCAGCCGCUGGUGGGCCACCUCUCGGACCGCAUCGCGCCGGCCAACUCCCCGCUGGGCCGUCGCCGGCCCUUCAUCGCCGCGGGCGCCGCCUCCAUCGCCUUCUCCGUGCUCACCGUCGGCUUCUCCGCCGACCUGGGGCGGCUCUUCGGGGACAACAUCGUGCCCGGGUCCACUCGGUUCGGCGCCAUCAUCGUCUACCUCAUCGGCUUCUGGCUGCUGGACGUCGGCAACAACGCCACGCAGGGGCCAUGCCGCGCCUUCCUCGCAGACCUCACAGAGAAUGACCCGAGGAGGACCCGGAUCGCCAACGCCUACUUCUCGCUCUUCAUGGCCCUGGGGAACAUACUCGGGUACGCCACCGGGGCAUACAAUGGCUGGUACAAGAUAUUCCCGUUCACUAUCACCGAGUCCUGCAGCGUCAGCUGCGCCAACCUCAAGUCUGCGUUCCUGCUCGAUAUCAUCAUCCUAGCGAUCACGACAUACGUUAGCGUGGUGACGGUGCAGGACAACCCUACUUUCGGAAGCGACGAGGCGGCGCCUCCGAGCAGCCACGAGGAGGAGGCUUUCCUCUUUGAGCUUUUCGGGUCGUUCAAGUACUUCACGAUGCCUGUUUGGAUGGUCUUGAUCGUCACCUCGCUUACCUGGAUCGGGUGGUUCCCUUUCAUCCUCUUUGAUACCGACUGGAUGGGCCGAGAGAUCUACCGGGGAAGCCCGGAGAUCGUCGCCGACACCCAAAAGUAUCAUGACGGUGUGAGAAUGGGCUCUUUUGGUCUCAUGCUCAACUCGGUCGUUCUCGGGAUCACAUCUAUUGGAAUGGAGAAGUUGUGUAGGAAGUGGGGAGCUGGACUUAACCUGGAUUAUGGACCUAGUGGAGCACCUCCAACCGGCAUUGUCGCCGCUUCCCUCAUUGUGUUCACAAUCCUAGGAGCACCUCUGUCGGUCACGUACAGUAUACCAUAUGCGAUGGCUGCAAGUCGUGUUGAAAAUCUUGGGCUAGGCCAAGGUCUAGCAAUGGGCAUUCUUAAUUUAUCUAUUGUGAUACCACAGAUCAUCGUGUCGCUGGGCAGCGGGCCGUGGGACCAGCUCUUCGGCGGAGGGAACGCGCCAUCCUUCUGGGUGGCCGCCGCAGCCUCGUUUGUGGGCGGGCUGGUAGCCAUCCUUGGGCUCCCGCGAGCCCGGCUCGGACCGAAGAAGAAAACCACCCAACGAUGA
rnacentral:rRNA from 1 species